CCAAUAGCGUAUAUUAAAGUUGUUGCAGUUAAAAAGCUCGUAGUUGAAUUUCGGGGCCAGUAGGUUGGUCGUGCCACUGGUAUGCACUGGUCUCACUGGUCCCUCCUUCUUGUAGAACCGUGAUGGCAUUAAUUUGUUGUUGCGGGGAAACAGGACUGUUACUUUGAAAAAAUUAGAGUGCUUAAAGCAGGCUCGCGCUUGAAUACAUUAGCAUGGAAUAACGAAAUAGGACGAUCGAACCUAUUUUGUUGGUUUCUAGGAUCGACGUAAUGAUUAAUAGGGAUAGUUGGGGGCAUUAGUAUUCAAUUGUCAGAGGUGAAAUUCUUGGAUUUAUUGAAGACUAACUACUGCGAAAGCAUUUGCCAAGGAUGUUUUCAUUAAUCAAGAACGAAAGUUAGGGGAUCGAAGACGAUCAGAUACCGUCGUAGUCUUAACCAUAAACUAUGCCGACUAGGGAUCGGAUGAAGUUAAUUUUUUAAUGACUCAUUCGGCGCCUUACG
rnacentral:rRNA from 1 species